CCAGAUUUUUCUGAACUACAACCCCCAUGAUUCUCUGGCUAUCUAUGUAAUUCAAAGAAUCAUGGGAGUUGUAGUUCAGCAACAUCUGG